UUCUUCUCCAUUUCUCUCCAUUCUUCUGAAUCUUCUGUUCCUCUCCAUUCUUCUAGGUUCUUUUCUCUCCUAUCCUGCUGCGUUUUCUUUUUUCAUUUGGUUGGUUUGGCCAAAAAAUCGAAAGGUUGUUCCUUGGUAAAAUCGUUUUCUCUCCCGUGAGGAAAACCCAAAGGCUGAAACUUUUUUGCUUGGUUUGAUAGUUCUUUGCUUGGUUUGGCCGAAAAAUGAUUUCUUGGUUCUUUUCUAUCUUAUCCUUCUACGUGAUGUAUUUGAUUUCUCCUUUGGUUUGUGGUUCUGACGGUCCAAAAAAUUGUAUUUUUUUGUGUUCCUCGGGCUUAUUUGACUGGCUGACUAUUGUUCUUCCUUUGCAACACAAAAGCUUCAAUUUUUUUGCGUCUUCUGCCUUUGUUUUGUGUUAUGACUUUUCGUAGGACAAAAGCUUAAAUUUUUUUGGGUGUUCUGCCUUUGUCUAAUGGUUCAAUAUAUUUUUUGGCAUGUUUAUUUUUUUUAUUAAUCGCUAUUGUAUGCAGAGAAGGUGGAAAAACACACUAAAGUUAUGAUUUUUAUCUCAAAAAACUCCAUGAGUACAGGUUCGUAAAUACAAAAGCUAAAUUUUUUUUGGGUGUUCUACCUUUAUUUUGUUUUCUGACUUCUUGUUAUACAAAAGUUUAAAUUUUUUUGUGUUCCUGAGCCUUCUCCAACAUGCUGAUUAUUUCCUAUACCCAUGUUUUGGUGUUUUCGUCCUUUUUUGGUGGUCUAAUGGUUCAAUAUAUUUUUUGGCAUGUUGAUUUUUUUUUAUGAAUGCAAAGAAGGUGGAAGAAGACACUAAAGCUGCGAUUUUUAUCUCAAAAACUCCAUGAAUACAGGUUCAUUUUCUUGCUUUGUCUAUCAAAGCUUAAAUUUUUGUGUUCCUGAGCAUUCUCCGACGUGCUUCCCCCGCCAUUUUCGAUUUUUAUCUCCAAACUCCAUGAAUACAUGUUCGUUUUCUUACUUCGUUUUCCCUUCCCGUCUUCUUCUACGUUUUCUUUUUUUACCUUUAUUUGCAUUUGUAUGCGUUUUUUUAUUUCGGUUUUUUGUUUUUUCACUGCAUGUUCAUUGUUUCUUCUAAAGCUGCGAUUUUUAUCUUAGAAAGCUUUAAUUUUUAUCUCCAAACUCCAUGUACACAGUUGAAUUUCGGAUCCCAUUCAUAGGUAUCAGAUGAACAUAGUUGAAUUGUUGUUGUUCUACCUUAAUGGAACAAUAUGGAAAAAUAUGGAUCUUUGUGUUGCAUUCGCUACCUAUUUUUAUCUUUUUUGUGUUCCAUGUUUGAGUUCCUUUCUUUACGUGUUCAUCUAUGUAUUACUGGCAAAAAAUAAUGUUUAUUGCUAUAAUUAACUUUGAGGUUCACGAGCUAUCUUGAAUCUUCUCCAAUUUUGUUCUUAUCAUGGUAACGUAUCAACGUGUACAAAAUCUCUGUUGUAGAUAUUCUUGACAUUUGUGCUUAUACAGGUUGAAAAUAAAAACAAUUUACUUUUAA